AAUUUUAUAGUUUAUUUAAAAUAUUAAAUUGCAAUUUUAAAGAAUUAGUAAUUUAAUAAAAUUU
rnacentral:tRNA from 1 species